rnacentral:rRNA from 1 species
AACGAACGCUGGCGGCAUGCCUAACACAUGCAAGUCGAACGAGACCUUCGGGUCUAGUGGCGCACGGGUGCGUAACGCGUGGGAACCUGCCCUUAGGUUCGGAAUAACUCCCCGAAAGGGGUGCUAAUACCGGUUAAUGUCUUCGGACCAAAGAUUUAUCGCCUUUGGAUGGGCCCGCGUUGGAUUAGCUAGUUGGUAGGGUAAAAGCCUACCAAGGCGACGAUCCAUAGCUGGUCUGAGAGGAUGAUCAGCCACACUGGGACUGAGACACGGCACAGACUCCGACGGGAGGCAGCAGUGGGGAAUAUUGGAAAAUGGGCGAAAGACUGAUCCAGCAAUGCCGGGUGAGUGAUGAAGGCCUUAGGGUUGUAAAGCUCUUUUACCCGGGAUGAUAAUGACAGUACCGGGAGAAUAAGCUCCGGCUAACGCCGUG